AUUGGGGACUACACAAAUUUUUCCGUAACGAAUUAUCAGCCUUCCUGCCUUCGCAUUUCAAAAUUGCCAUUAGAUGGCUGCUCUCCGACUUGUGAAUGCCGCGAGCGCUGCGAGUACCGAGAAGAAAAGUCUGGCGUUGCUGUAUGAAGUUGAAGAAGUGUCUCAAAAUUUCUUGAUAAGCCAUUUUGAAAAGUGAUUCCAACGAGAAACGUUCUUCCGCUGUCUACAAUUUAUUGUGAGAUCUAAUUUAAAUGAACGCCAUCCUUCUAGUACAAAUUGUUUGCAACUAAUGUUGAUGACAAGAUGCAGGAUACCAUAUUGGUUAAGGCAUGACAUUGAAGAGAUAUCGUCAGUUUUUUCACCAUUGCAUUCAUCACAUCACAGAAGGAAUGAAGGGACGGUGUUGCUACUGAUAUGGGAUGUUGAGUCAAGACUGUGCAGCAAUCCAGUAACACCAUCAGACAUGGCUACAAGAAGUUGGAAAUGUACUUGCUCGUUGUGAUCGUCCACAAUUCGUUACCAAGGGCAUGUGAUUACCACGACGUACUUGAAGGUGGCUAACUUGGAACAUGAUGGUGUCUUGGUGGAGUAUUGCUAGGUGCUGACCUUUCAACACCGAUUGAUGAGUAUUGCUGUUCGAGAAGUUACUUCUGUGUGUGUUUAACGGUCGGAAGCAACAGUAGCAGUAGCCUGCACAGCAUCGCAUGUUUCAAUAUGUAUGUCGGGUGGUGGAACCAACUUGUUAGCUGGAUUGAAACCUACUUGCUAUCACUGGAUUCAACUGAGUGGUUAUAGCUGUGGGUGUUGGAUCGAGUCAGGGAGAGGCUGUAAUCUGAACAAUAGGAUUAUUUCAGUUGGGUUUUAUUCAACACACUAGCAAUGAAUCUACCUACGAUAUUAAAAAACUAGGCGUCGGGAGAGGGUUACUACAGAUGUUACUUGCCGCAGAAGUUCUCCAUUAACAAACCGUUAUCACUUCCAUUAUAUCAAAGGACUUACGCAUCACAAACUUGAAGGUGAUGAAAUUUGACUAUACGGUCAAUUGAGUUCGACUAUAUCACGAGGUUAAGCAUCUAGCCCAUUGUCGUUCAAGAUUUCCAUCACGGCCCCAAGAAAAACUCGCCGUCUAGAAUCUACUCAUCGGUGAAAAUCCAGGACCAUGAAGGAAAUAUCAACUCAUGCAAAACAGCUGUUGCGCUCUACGUAUUACCCAAACCCAUCAACUAAAAGAGUGUUACUCCUGGAACAUCGAUGAGUGUUGUUCGUCAAACAAUUUUUCGUAAACAAAGUUAUGUAGCUCGAAAACAAGUCGACAUACCUUGUGUCUACACAGCCGGAUUUCGCGUCAACUGGCGCAUUCAAUUAUUCAUAUCUCCAAAGAUGUCAAAAUCAACACACUAAUUAUACAUAAAACUAGCGAUGGGAAAUUUCCAUGAUUCCUCCAGCAUUCUAGCUGAUUAGGACGAUGUAACACCUCAUGGACAACUAACUACGUAAACUUGUAGUUCUUCAUCUUCUUAGUGAAGGAGUCAACCAUCCUCGUCCCAGUUUCGCACAUUAUUCAGGCUGCAUUAAGCAAUGAUACGGAUACAUUGACUGCCAUUUUGCUGAAUUGAAGCUGUGCACCAUUUUCUGGCCUUUGCUGGAACUUUGGAUAUUGACCCGCCACAAGUGAAGAUAGUUGGAGUUUACGCUGUUAGCAUUGCCACGAGUGCACGAGAGUUAGGAAUAGUUUAUGCUAGUACGACAACCUUCUUUUUUUCAAGGGAACAUUAGAGAUUGGGAUUUGGGGGAAAAAUGCGGAGUAAAAAUAAGAUUAAAUCGGCAACAAGUAUAUGUUGCUAUAGAAUAUUUGACUGUAAUAAAAACAAAUUAAAGUAGCCUUUAUAUAAUAUACAUUUAUAUUGAAGUUGAAUAUUACAUACAUUGCAUUUAUGUAAAAAAGUUAUAUUCUUAUAGUUAUUGUCAAAUGUGUCAUUUUUUUGUACCCUAUUCUUGUGAAAGUUCCUUUGCAAGUUAAACUGUUUCCGUUCCUUGGUAUUCUGUUUCGGCUUUCGAAAUAUGUAGUUAGUAAUUUGUGUUAUCAUUAUUUUUUUUUUGUUAACCAUUAAUAUUUUAAAAAGGAACAAAACCAAUGAUAUAAUGAGUUGUCUAGUAAACAAGGAAAAACCACCAAAAUUUCCUCAAUUCCCAUACUACCAACACCCUCUUCCAGCUCCUCGACCUCCUGCUAAAUACAACGGUUGUGUGCCCAACGGUGGGAUUGGAUUAUUGAUUAGUAAAGAAAACGAAGUUCACAGAAAAGAAAGGAGCCCAAAUUUGCAUUUUUUGAAGUAGCUUUAACCUAUGAUGUGUAUCAUGCAAUUUAGGAGCAGACAAAGUUUCCCAAGAUGAUUCUAUUCUGUAGUAGGGCAUUUAGCCGAGACAAAGCUGUCACAUUCCUAUGCUGCUAUCCAAUUAUCAAUGGCCAUCGGCACUUACAGAAAAAAAGAAAGAUUUAUCACAGGUAAGGCACAGUGCAGAAUGACAGGAAUAAAGCUAAAAGGGUGAUACCUAGAGGUAGCGGAAGACGAUAUUUCGUCAACUAUCUGGAAUCACUGACAGACGAGACACACAUCAGCGAACGUCAUGCUGCCUUCCACUCAUUUUUAUCCACCUUGGGUAUUUUGUCUGUUGUGAUGUGUGAUGCUGUGGUGGUGGCUUUUUGGUGAAGACGAGAUACAAAUUUGGAGGAGAGAAUAUUACAUAUGGGCUUAUGACGUCAAAAGUUCAGCGACAUCUUCUUCGAAAAUUACCAAUGAAUUCGUUGGAGAAAAUGUGAAAGGUUCAUGAAGCCUGUACUGUCAACUAUUGUGAAUCCUGGUAUCCUAACUGAAUAUGUCAUCCAAAUGACAGAGUGGAUUCGAAAAUUUACCGUAAGUCUGAAAUAGCUAACUAAAUCAUUUGUAUGUUGCGUCAUAGUGAAAGGUGAAAGGCGUGAGGAAUUGCAAAUUUAGCUGCUGCGUGCUGUCUGCAAGGAAGCAAUCCAAUUGGCUGUCGCUAGGUGGCGCGAGCGUCUUCGGCCAUUUUGUUCCUUGACAAAUGAGAAGUGGGAUGCUGCAUGCUGGUCGUGACGUUUCCCAUGGUGAAAAUGUAAAGGUGAUUUCAAUACCACUUUGUCAAACCAGAAUCUAUCUGGGAAGCCUGUCCAUUUUGCUGAAAUGUCGUGCCUCGUGUGUCUUGCUGCCUGCACCCAGUCGUAUGUCUCGUGCCAUGCUAAAGCAAAAUUUGAUGCCAACCAACUAUGACUUCCUUUGUAAAAUUUGAAAUAUCGGAGAGAUCUGUUGGACUGCGUAGCUUUGUCUUACUCCUGGUCCGCUGUUGGUUACCUUAUUGCAGCCAGGUGGUGAAAGAUGUGAUGGAGACUAAUUGAACUGUUGUAUGCAGCGUGUGGUUCCAGUGUUAUCCAGAAGUAGCUGUGCUGGCGGUAUCCUGAACUAGCCUGAAGUUGCCAGUGAUAUCUGGGUCUCUGACUUUAAAUAUAUUUUAUGUUUGCAUUUGUGUAUUUCUCUCUGCCAAUGCUAUCCUGUGUUUGAAAUCUUUUCUCAUUCGUGUUUUUUGCUCUACCAGUGAUUUCCUGUGUUUCACUCUUGAAAUGGUUCCAUUGUCUUUGGCGUUUUUAUUGUGCAGUAUACGAUUGAGGCAACCUGAUCUAUGUCAGGUUUGACUCAGUCGACAACUGCUAGAUUAAAUUCCGGCUUUCUGCACCAACAAAAUAAUAACGGCACAUGUUAUUAUCGCGGUUGGGAAAGUCACAGGCCCCCCCCUCCCUGGGGGCCAUAAAA